UACGAAGGGGGCUAGCGUUGUUCGGAAUACUGGGCGUAAAGCGCGCGCAGGCGGUCUUCCAAGUCAGUGGUGAAAGCCCGGAGCUCAACUCCGGAACUGCCAUUGAAACUGUAAGACUUGAGGAUGAGAGAGGUGAGUGGAAUUCCCAGUGUAGAGGUGAAAUUCGUAGAUAUUGGGAAGAACACCGGUGGCGAAGGCGGCUCACUGGCUCAUAUCUGACGCUCAGGCGCGACAGCGUGGGGAUCAAACAGG
rnacentral:rRNA from 1 species